rnacentral:tRNA from 1 species
GUGAGUGUCGCCUAGAGGUCUAAGGCGCCAGGUUGUGGCCCUGGAGAACGAGGGUUCAAAUCCCUCCACUCACCCCA